AAGAAUUUAGUUAAAAUAAUAACGUAGAAGUGUCAGAUCUAAAUUAUCUUAAAGAUAUUUCUUA
rnacentral:tRNA from 1 species